rnacentral:tRNA from 1 species
GCGGCGGUGGCGCAAUGGUAGCGCUCCAGCUUCCCAAGCUGGCCGUUGCGGGUUCGAGUCCCGUCCGCCGCU